rnacentral:misc_RNA from 1 species
CCGAGUUUACAACUCCCAAACCCCCUGUGAACUUAUACCAUUUACUGUUGCUUCGGCGGGUCACGGCCCCGGGGAAGGACAGCGGUCGCCGUCAGGCCUCAGCUGCCCGCCCCCGGAAACAGGCGCCCGCCGGGGAACUCAAACUCUUCUGUAUUUCUUACUUUGCAUGUCUGAGUGGAAUCAUAAACAAAUGAAUCA